AUUCUACCCAUGUGGGGAAGGAUGAGAAGCUUCGACUAAGGUUCGAUUCGAGCGCAGCGAGAAAGCGUUGCCGCAGGCAACGACCCGAAGGGCGAAGCGC
rnacentral:sRNA from 1 species